rnacentral:rRNA from 1 species
AGGCAAUCUCCCCUUAGGCGGGGGACAACCGUUCGAAAGGACGGCUAAUACCGCAUAAGACCACAGCAUCUGCGGAUGCAGGGGUAAAAGGUGGCUUCGGCUACCACCAGAGGAUGAGCCUGCGGACCAUCAGCUUGUUGGUGGGGUAACGGCCUACCAAGGCUAAGACGGAUAGCUGGUCUGAGAGGAUGACCAGCCACACUGGCACUGAAACACGGGCCAG